AUACGGAGGGUGCGAGCGUUAAUCGGAAUUACUGGGCGUAAAGCGUACGUAGGCGGUUGCCUAAGUCAGAUGUGAAAGCCCCGGGCUUAACCUGGGAACUGCAUUUGAAACUGAGCGACUAGAGUUUAGUAGAGGGGAGUGGAAUUUCAGGUGUAGCGGUGAAAUGCGUAGAGAUCUGAAGGAACACCAGUGGCGAAGGCGACUCCCUGGACUAAAACUGACGCUGAGGUACGAAAGCGUGGGUAGCAAACAGGAUUAGAAACCCCAGUAGUCC
rnacentral:rRNA from 1 species